rnacentral:rRNA from 1 species
UACGUAGGGUGCGAGCGUUUGUCCGGAAUUACUGGGCGUAAAGAGCUCGUAGGUGGUUUGUCGCGUUGUUCGUGAAAACUCACAGCUCAACUGUGGGCGUGCGGGCGAUACGGGCAGACUAGAGUACUGCAGGGGAGACUGGAAUUCCUGGUGUAGCGGUGAAAUGCGCAGAUAUCAGGAGGAACACCGGUGGCGAAGGCGGGUCUCUGGGCAACUACUGAC